rnacentral:rRNA from 1 species
CCGGGGUGCACCAGGCGCGAAAACUUCGCAAUGCACGAAAGUGCGACGAGGCUACUUCGAGUGCCGUCCGCUGAGGAUGGCUUUUGCCAAGUCUAAAUAGCUUGGAGAAUAAGGGGAGGGCAAGUCUGGUGUCAGCCGCCGCGGUAAUACCAGCUCCCCGAGUGGUCGGGAUGAUUAUUGGGCCUAAAGCAUCCGUAGCCGGUUCCGUAGGUCUCCUGUUAAAUUCAACGGCUCAACCGUUGAGCUGCAGGAGAUACCGCGGGGCUAGGAGGCGGGAGAGGCGGACGGUACUCCGUGGGUAGGGGUAAAAUCCUCUGAUCCUCGGAAGACCACCAGUGGCGAAGGCGGUCCGCCAGAACGCGCUCGACGGUGAGGGAUGAAAGCUGGGGGAGCGAACCGGAUUAGAUACCCGGGUAGUCCCAGCUGUAAACGAUGCGAGCUAGGUGAUAGAAUGAUUUCGUAUCAUUCUAGUGCCGCAGGGAAGUCGUUAAGCUCGCCGCCUGGGGAGUACGGUCGCAAGACUGAAACUUAAAGGAAUUGGCGGGGGAGCAAAGGGCGAUUCGCG